UGGUAUCAGUAUUACUAUGGUGAUGGGUGCAUUGUCGUUGGAUGAGAUCAGAAAAGCACAAAGAGCUGAUGGACCAGCAAGCAUCUUGGCCAUAGGCACCAGUGCCGUCCCGAAUUUUUUUGUGGCCUAAAACAUUUUUGUAAAAAUGUGGCCUUAAUAAAAUAAAAUAAUAGAAGUUUUUGAAAAUGUUAGAAUUAUAAUAUAACAUAUUCUUUUGUUAUUUUUUUUUCAUGUGACAUUAAUUCAUUCAAUUUUCUGUGGAUCAUGAACCUACAUUAAGUAUUUGAAAGUUUUAUAUGUAAAAAAUUAACAAAGAAAAAACUAGAAUAAGACAUCUUUAAAACAAUAACUAUGUAUGUAGUCAAAUUCAAGUUAAUUUUUCUUUUAAUUGUGUUUUGAUAAAUACAACAUAAAAAUAGAAACGGAUAAAAAGUUAAAUUCCCUUCUAAUAUUGUUUUGGAAACUAUAACAUAAAAGUUGAAACUAGUUAAAGAGAUGAACAAAGCACUCGAAGUUAUGCUAAAUUUCCUUUUAGGUUUAUUUUGAUAACUACAACAUAAAAAAAUGGAAUCCGACAAAAAUUAAAUUCUCUUUUAAUGCUGUUUUGAGAACUCUGUUUCACAAUACUUGAUUUUUUGUAGUAGUGCACAAAGAUUAAGAAAAUUACAUUUAUCUAAAAAUGUAUUUUAAAGAUAUAAUUUUAAAAUCAGUUAACCAAUUAUAAAAGAGACAGUAAAAUCUAAUUGAUUGAAUAGUUUCCAAUAAAGUUAAAAACAACCUUAAAAUCUCAAAACUUCAUGUAAAUUGAAACAAAUUAAUCUUUCUAAACAUCAUCUAUAUUGAAACGGAUGGAGUAUAUCAUAAAAUUGAAACUAGUAAAAGAGAUGAACAAAACAUGUUGAUUUGUUGUAUAACUUGUAUUGAUCAAACCAAAUAAAAUGAAAAUUAUUGUACACAGAAUAAUAAAAUCUGACCCAAAUUUUUUUUUAAAUGUGGCCUAAAGCAUUAGCUUUAGUUGCCUUAUGAGAGGCACGGACCUGAUAGGCACUGCCAACCCUCCCAACCAAGUGACCCAAGCAGAGUAUCCAGACUACUACUUCCGCAUCACCAACAGUGAACAUAUGACCGAUCUCAAGGAGAAGUUCAAGCGCAUGUGUACGUCUUCAUAUUCAUUCUGCCACACAUUUAUAUUAUAUUCAUUCACAUUUACUCAUAAACUUUAUCUAUUAUCUAUCAUAGGCGACAAAUCAGUGAUAAGGAAACGUUACAUGCACUUGACUGAAGAGUUUCUCAAGGACAACCCCAACAUAUGCGCCUUCAUGGCUCCUUCCUUGGACGUUAGGCAGGACAUCUUGGUGGCCGAGGUCCCUAAGCUUGGCAAAGAGGCUGCAGUGAAGGCUAUCAAGGAGUGGGGCCAGCCCAAGUCCAAGAUCACUCAUCUAGUCUUCUGCACUACCUCUGGUGUGGCCAUGCCUGGUGCUGACUACCAGCUCAUCAAACUCCUUGGUCUGUGUCCUUCUGUUAAGCGUGUCAUGAUGUACCAUCAAGGCUGCUACGCUGGUGGGACUGUCCUCCGUUUGGCCAAGGACAUAGCUGAGAACAACCGUGGCGCUAGAGUACUUAUUAUUUGCGCUGAGAUUACAGUAGUCACCUUCCGUGGGCCCUCUGAGACCCAACUGGAUUCCCUUGUUGGACAGUCCUUUUUUGGCGACGGCACCGCUGCACUCAUUGUGGGUUCAGACCCUGAUACCUCUGUGGGAGAGAAACCAAUCUUUGAGAUGGUGUCUGCUGCACAGACCAUUCUUCCUGACUCUCAAGGAGCCAUAGAAGGACAUCUGAAGGAGGUGGCACUCACAUUCCAUCUCUUGAAGACUGUCCCCGGUCUCAUCUCAAAGAACAUUGAGAAGUGUCUUGAAGAAGCGUUUAAACCGCUGGGGAUAAGUGACUGGAACUCUCUCUUCUGGAUAGCUCACCCUGGAGGUCCAUCCAUCUUAGACCACGUUGAGAUAAAGCUAGGACUGAAGGCAGAGAAGAUGAAGGCCACUCGUCAUGUCCUCAGCGAGUAUGGAAACAUGUCCAGUGCCUGUAUCAUUCAUCUCAGUGGACAUUGGUUUUGGUUCAAGCAUGUCUUGACUAUGCACAAUAUACAAUGGUGGCAAAUUGGCUAAAAUAUGGAAAUAAUUGAGUUGCAAAAAAUCAAAAACUCUUAUCUUGUAGCAAGUUUGCACAAGAUAGUUAUCAAAAACAUAUUUUUCUCAAGAGGAACAAAAACAUAAUACAAAUCAAAAACUCUUAUCUUGUAGCAAGUUUGUUGAAGGCGGCUAUUCUUCACCUGCAAAAUGGUCAGAACAUACCAAAUGAAUUAUUUAAACAAGACCUUAUGAUCAAAGGUGCAGUUUUGAAAGCUUACAAUGUUCAUGUCCACAGAGAGCUCUUCAAACCAUGUCCUUAUGUCUUUCUCUUUGUAAACAGAAGCAAUGUAAAUGCAAGCGAGCGUGAUGAGAUAAAGUGGGUGUAUAAGGAUAAAGGAUGAGGUCCAUCCCUGUAAGUGUCGUUGACAAGACCCCUAUAGUUUUCCACAAAACAUUUUAAGCAUCAAGAGACCAUUUUAGCUUAACUAAAGGACAAAAGUUUUGGAUACUUACCAAGUUAAAUAGGUCAUAUAUACUUGUGUCAUUGAGUCCAGAAUCCUGCAAGAACCUGUAAAGCAAAGAAAAAAAGAAUCAAAACGAAUGCAUAGUGAGUGUCUAGUUGAUUUGGAAGAUCUCUUAACCAAAGAUAUGCAAAAGACUCACUCAGGGAGAGAUCGGUAUGGGUGGAAUACAACAAGAUAGAAGUUCAAAGCUUCCAAGAUCUUCAUCUCCAUUUCCAACAAGAUAAAAUUUAAUAAUUAGUAACUAAAAUUUUUUUUGACCAAUCACUGGUUUACAUGUUCUCCUUUCUUCUUUGUUCUCUUCUCAGAUGUCCACAAUUAACAUCUACAUUUGUUUAUUACUUUGUUUAUACUCUCAUCAUCAAUUUAUCUCUAUUAAUUUUUUCCAAUGGUGUAUCCAAUUAGCCAUUACUCCAUGGAAUCAAAAGAUCAAUUCCUUCCACCUUUUGUCUUCAUGCUCUGUUUUGCUUAUUAAUUUGCAAGCAAGACUGGAACAAACACAUUCUUAACUUGGACAUGGGUUAUUAUGUAAAUCUGGCGAUGAAGAGUAAUGGUGGUGGACCGAUGAAUGUGUGCCGUGUCGGGAAAAGAUGAGUAUAUGUAGAAGAUGACUCACAACUAUACUAUGUUUAGUGAAAAAGAUAUAACAUAGCAUUAUUUGUGUAAAUGUAACUAUUUCCAUAAAACUAUUAUACUAUUUAAUAUAUAGAUUCCCGUUGUAUUUCUAUACUUUUCAAUGAAAUGGAACAUGAUGGCGUACCUUUUCUCUUCUUCGCAAUAUUCAUUAAUAAGUAAUAUAAAGUUUAUUAUGUUCUUUUUUAUUUAAUGAUUGAGAAAUAUUAUUCUUUUUCUCUCUUUAAACUACCAAAUUAUAUAAUUUACAACGCUCUCGUAUUUCUGUACCAUUUGCAUCAAAUGGAAUUCCUUAUUUUUCUUAUUCACAUAUUCUUCGUAUUAUAACUAUAGAUUAUAUUUAUAUAUAGUUUUAGGGUUAAUGAUUAAAGUUAAAGAUUUAGAUUUUAUUGAUUUAGACUUAGGGUUAAGUAGGGUUUACAAUUAUACUAUAUGUAGAAUCUAUAUACUAUUUAUUUAUUUAUUAAUUCAGUAUCAGUUCUCUACUAUCUUUAUAUGACGCUUACCUUUAUUAAUUUACGUAUGCAAAUGAAAUAAAUAAUAUAUUAUAUACUAUUUUAGAGGAUCUAUACUAUAUAUCGUACAUGAAAAAUAAAGUCUUCAAUUAAUUAUCCUUCAUCGUUGUUCUUCUGUUUACGUCUUUUUCUUUCCUCUCAUGUUUAAGAAAUGAAGUUCAUGUAUGUGGUAAUUAAUUGAGUGAUGUCGUGUUAUAUGCAUGAUUUAACUCGCCAUUGUGUCAUAUGAGUAAAAAUAAAAAUGUUGAUUAGCCGACUAUACUAUAUUCAACGAGAUGUAGUUUAGUAUAAUACAACCAUGUUCUUUUCCUAGCCACAUGUGUUAAUCGUCAACGUCACCAACUUUCUUCUUUUGCCGAAUACCUUCUAUGUACAAGGUUAAAAAAUCUGCAUGAAACGGAAGAAAGUGUUAUUCACUUAAUAAUGUCAAAAUCAUAGAUAUAUUUUUGACUAUGCUUCCAAAAUUGUCUAUUUGACAAUAAGCCCUCAUAACAGGUGAAUCAUAAUUCUUCUUGUCGAUGAUGGGAUGUCACUUUCCACUACCUUAAGCUUAAGAAGCUUUACCAUCCUCUGAAUUAAGAUCUCAAUUCUUUUCAUCUGAAGUUUUAUUAACUUUCUCUCAAAUUUUUGUUUCUGAUUUUUCUCUUUCUUUAUAUCCAUGGCAACAAGAGUGGAUAUAUACAUUGACAAAAAGGAAAAAAGAGUGGAAUUAUACAAAAUUUUCAGACGGAACCAUGUGUCAUCCUCGGAAUUUCCGAUGAAUACUUGACAAUGUUUUUAACUUUUUCUUUUUUUUUUCAAUGUUUUUAACCUUAUUCCAAAUAAACUUAAUAUCUGCCAAAUUUCCAUCAAAAUUUGCGACCACUCACGGAGACGAUCGUGGCCUCGUAACGUUCCGAGAAAGUACCAACGAGAAUUUCCGAGAACAUUCUGACCAAACACUUUCACGAGAAAGUACCGACGAGAAUUUUCAAAAACAUUCUGACCAAACACUUUCAUCGGAAAUCUCUGGCAAGAUGCCCAGAACAAUUUCCUUUACUCGCUAUAACGUCCCUAAUCUGUCAAUUAUUUACCGAUGACCUCUAUUCUCAGAAGUAGUGGUCGGAGUUCGUGAUGUUUCCUUGUAGCUGCAAGCGCUAUGGAAAUCAAAAGAGCCAGGUGUCCGGAUUGGGAGAAAACCUAAAACGUGCUGGUAAAAGCUCAUGGAGUCCUCCACAGAUUGACAUAGAAGAGAUACGUGGUUCAGAGACUUGAGAUGAAGGGUUUCCCGUAUUUUUUUUCCAUUAUUCCCGACAUGCAAAUCAAAACCAAGAAUGAUCAAAAAGCAAAACAUAACAGAACAGAAGAGUUUCCUUCUCUUGAAGAUACGAACGACGACAACCUUUGAAAAUUUAGCUCCUUAUCCUUCUUCGACCAUAUCAUCAUCACGUUUUAGUUUACCACUUGAGAUUCAUAGAAUAAUGCAUCCAUGAUGCCAUACCGUCAUUCAACUUUGGACCUACAACUUCUCAAAUAAUUCUACCAUAUAAACACAUGUCCUUGUGAAUUUCCGAUAAAACAACAAUUCAAAUAAAACAUUGUUUGCUUUCUCAUUUAUCAUCACAAAAGUUUAAUGUAUCUAUUUUCAUAAUACAAAAAAUGUUGUUUGAUCCAACGAAAGGAGGUGUUUUCAUCCUAAACAUUGCAUUUGUUUUUAAGAAGUUGUCAAAUGUCUAAGCAUAUUGGUCUUUUUAUUUUUUAAAGUUGCUAGAUUUUCAAGGACUUAUUUUUCACGUAAGUAUAUGCUUUUUAAAAAAUUGCAUAUAUUUUAAAAGGAUUGAUAACAUGUUUAAAGAUGUGUCUUUUUAUCCUAUAAAUUGCAUAAGUUUAUAAGCAAUUGUCUUUUCGUUCAUUUUCAUAUCAACUUCUAUAUACAUUUAAAGAAUCUUAAUUUUGUUUAAAAAUAUUCAUGUAACUUGAUUUCAUCAGUAAUUUAAUUAUUUUAUAAUAUUAUAUAUUUAUUAAUUAUUGCUAUUUUUAGUGAUGAUAUUUUUUUGUGAUGAACCAUUACAACUAUGAUAAACCAUUGCAACUAUUGGUAAUGGUAGAGUCUACUUAUGAACAUUUACAAUUUUUAGUGCUAAUCCUUACAACUAUUAGUAAUGAUAGGUUUUAGCGAUGAACCAUUGCAACUUUUGAUGCUAAUCGUUAUAUAACUUUUGGUUAACCAUUGCAAUCUUUGGUUGUUAACCAUUGGAACUCUCAACUUUUAUAUAGAAGUUGUAGGUAUUGACAAAUAGUAAUUAAAAACAAAUAACUUGUAGAAAUAAAGAGAGAUAUAUCCAUUUUUUCAAACCAUUACCAAAGAUUUUGAAUAAACAUAUAUAAACACAAGAUAUUUUAUUUGUUAUUUAUGUUCUUAGCUUAAAAUACGAAAAACUUUUUUUAUCAAAUACUUUUUGACUGUACAUACAUUUUAUAUGAUUUCAAAAAUAUCAUGAAUAUGUUACUAAACAAGAUAUCUUAAUUUUAUAAUUUAUAUUAUAAAUUUAGAAAUGAUUAGACAUAUCUUAUUUGGUCUUGAUAUAAUUGUAAUUUUACUACAACUAACUUAUAAAUAAAAUAUAGAUUUUUAAUAUUAUCAAUAAAAAAUAUACAAAAAAAAUAUAGUUGUAUACAAGAUAAAAUGUGGUAUGUUUUUCUAUAAAAUGAGUUCAUGUGUGAUAUCACACGUGUUCCUUACCUAGUUAUAUCUAAUAAUAAAAAAUAUAUUAUACCCUAUACUAUAUACAUAUGUUAUAUACAUGAUGACUUAUUAUGGUAAAUUCUUUACCUUUUUGACAUCUCAUCUUUACUUUUAUCACUUAUGAAAUCAUGAAAAAUGUAGAUGCAACAUGGUAUAGAAAAAAAACAUGGUAUAGAAAUACAUGAAUGAAUUACGAUUGUUACUCAAUUGGAAUUACUAAAUAUAAAAAAAAAAUCGUACAUAACAUAGAAUCAUUGUAGUAACUGAUUUAUAAUAAAUGUAUUUAUAAUGCUCCAAUUACGGUUACAUAUUUUGUUGGACCAUUUAAAAUUUAAAUGACAACCUUUUAAUAAGUAAAUAAAACAGAAGAAUGUAAAUUAAUAGAGUAGAUCAUAAAAUAAAUCAAUAAAUAAGCAGAGAUUUUGAAUUUCCAUCGAAUCUUUAAUCAUAAAUAUUUCUUAUGAUUUUAUUGAAAUACCUCUAGAUUUCAAACAGCAAUAAACAGGCUUUGCUGCCCAAAAUAUAUAUAAAUAAAACAUAACAGUUACCUGACUCACACCUUUCUCAUUUCUCCUUAUUAAAUUUGCAUAAUCUCUAGGUUUAUUAUAGAUUACUCCGCUUUCCACUACUAUAAAUAUUGCAUAGUACACAUAACCAAAACAUCAAUCUCCAAUCAAACCAAACUGGUAUCAGUAUUACAAUGGUGAUGGGUGCCUUGUCCUUGGAUGAGAUCAGAAAGGCACAAAGAGGUGAUGGACCAGCAAGCAUCCUGGCCAUAGGCACUGCCAACCCUCCCAACCAAGUGAUCCAAGCAGAGUAUCCAGACUACUACUUCCGCAUCACCAACAGUGAACACAUGACCGACCUCAAGGAGAAGUUCAAGCGCAUGUGUACGUCUUCAUUUUCAUUCUGCCACACACUUAUAUUAUAUUCAUUCACAUUUACUCAUGAACUUUAUCUAUUAUAUAUAAUAGGCGACAAAUCAAUGAUAAGGAAACGUUACAUGCACUUGACUGAAGAGUUUCUCAAGGACAACCCCAACAUAUGCGCCUUCAUGGCUCCUUCCUUGGACGUUAGGCAGGACAUUUUGGUGACCGAGGUCCCUAAGCUAGGCAAAGAGGCUGCAGUUAAUGCUAUCAAGGAGUGGGGCCAGCCCAAGUCCAAGAUCACUCAUCUUGUCUUCUGCACCACCUCUGGUGUGGACAUGCCUGGUGCUGACUACCAGCUCAUCAAGCUCCUCGGCCUCUCUCCUUUUGUUAAGCGUGUCAUGAUGUACCAUCAAGGUUGCUACGCUGGUGGGACUGUCCUCCGUUUGGCCAAGGACAUAGCUGAGAACAACCGCGGCGCUAGAGUACUUAUUGUUUGCUCUGAGAUUACUGUUGUUACCUUCCGUGGGCCCUCUGAGACCCACCUAGACUCCCUUGUUGGACAGUCUCUCUUCGGUGACGGUGCGGCUGCACUGAUCGUUGGUUCAGACCCUGAUACCUCUGCGGGAGAGAAACCAAUCUUUGAGAUGGUCUCUGCUGCACAGACCAUCCUUCCUGACUCUAAAGGAGCCAUAGAAGGACAUCUGAAGGAGGUGGGACUCACCUUCCAUCUCUUGAAGACUGUCCCCGGUCUCAUCUCAAAGAACAUUGAGAAGUGUCUACAGGAAGCGUUUAAACCGCUUGGGAUAAGUGACUGGAACUCUCUCUUCUGGAUAGCUCACCCUGGUGGCCCUGCCAUCUUGGAUCACGUUGAGAUAAAGCUAGGACUAAAGGCAGCGAAGAUGAAGGCCACUCGUCAUGUCCUGAGCGAGUAUGGAAACAUGUCUAGUGCCUGUGUCUUCUUCAUACUUGACGAGAUGAGGAGGAGGGCAGUAGAGGAUGGUGCAGAGACAACAGGAGAAGGGUUGGAGUGGGGUGUCUUGUUUGGUUUUGGACCUGGUCUCACUGUAGAGACAGUGGUCUUACACAGUGUUCCUCUCUGAACAGAACACUUUCUUCCUAUAUUACUGAGAUGAAUGAUUCUAUUAUAAUUUCUGUUUGCAAUUCAAUUACUUCUAUAUUUUAGCUAAUUUGCCACCACUUUAUAUUGUGCAUAGUCAAGACAUGCUUGAACCAAAACCAAUGUACAACACACGAAGUGAUCUCAUGACAGAAUCUUCUGGCAAAACAUAUAUUUUCUCAAAGGAACAAAAACAUAAGACAAAUCAAAACUCUUAUGGACUUGUAGCAAGUUUGUUGAAGGCGGCGUGAACUCUCUCUUCAGUGAACAUUCUGUGGUUUUCAUAGAUAUCUAAUAUCUCUAUUGCGAUAUUCUUCACCUGCAAAAUGGUCAGAACAUACCAAAUGAAUGAUUUAAACAAGACCUUAUGAUCAAAUGUGCAGUUUGGAAAGCUUACAAUGUUCAUGUCCACAGAGAGCUCUUCAAACCAUGUCCAUAUGUAUUUCUCUUUGUAAACAAAAGCAAUGUAAAUGCAAGCGAGCGUGAUGAGAUAAGGUGGGUGUGUAAGGAUGAGGUCCAUUCUGUAAGUGUCGUUGACAAGACCCCUAUAGUUUUCCACAAAACAUUUUAAGCAUCAAGAGACCAUUUUAGCUUAACUAAAGGACAAAAGUUUUGGAUACUUACCAAGUCAAAUGGGUCAUACUUGUGUCAUUGAGUCCAGAAUCCUGCAAGAACCUGUAAAGCAAAGAAAAAAAAUCAAAACGGAUGCAUAGUGAGUGUCUAGUUGAUUUGAAAGAUCUCUUAACCAAAGAUAUGCAAAAGACUCACUCAGGGAGAGAUCGGUAUGGGUGGAAUACAACUAGAUAGAUUUGGAUUUAGGGCUUAGUUUUUAUAGGGUGUUUGGGGUUGGAGGUAGGAUUUACAAUUAUACUAUACUAGGUUAAGACCUGCGCCUUGCGCGGGAUUAACAUUAUAUAUAUAAAUUAUUUUAUGUAUUAAAUAUUUUUACAUAUUAUGAAAUAAUAAAUAUAUAUUAUAUAAUUAAAAAUCAGUAACUAUUAUAUAUAUAAUUAAAUUGAUGCGAACAUAUAAAUCAAUUUUAUUAAUCCAAAAAAUAUAUUUUUUUUUUUAUAUUUGAUAGGAUAUGUUAUUAAAUUUAAAUGAUACUAAUAUAGAUAAUAUAUUUUAGUAUAUUUUUAAUAUUAAUGUCUAUUAAAUGAUGAUUUCUACUCAUAUAGUUUUUUUGAUCUGAUCAAAAAGCAAAACAGAACCGAACAGAAGAGUUUCCUUCUCUUGAAGAUACGUUAUGAACGACGACAACCUUUGAAAAUUUAGCUCCUUAUCCUUCUUCGACCAUAUCAUCAUCACGUUUUAAUUUACCACUUGAGAUUCAUAGAAUAAUGCAUCCAUGAUGCCAUACCGUCAUUCAACUUUGGACCUACAACUUCUCAAAUAAUUCUACCAUAUAAACACAUGUCCUUGUGAAUUUCCGAUAAAACAACAAUUCAAAUAAAACAUUGUUUGCUUUCUCAUUUAUCAUCACAAAAGUUUAAUGUAUCUAUUUUCAUAAUACAAAAAAUGUUGUUUGAUCCAACGAAAGGAGGUGUUUUCAUCCUAAACAUUGCAUUUGUUUUUAAGAAGUUGUCAAAUGUCUAAGCAUAUUGGUCUUUUUAUUUUUUAAAGUUGCUAGAUUUUCAAGGACUUAUUUUUCACGUAAGUAUAUGCUUUUUAAAAAAUUGCAUAUAUUUUAAAAGGAUUGAUAACAUGUUUAAAGAUGUGUCUUUUUAUCCUAUAAAUUGCAUAAGUUUAUAAGCAAUUGUCUUUUCGUUCAUUUUCAUAUCAACUUCUAUAUACAUUUAAAGAAUCUUAAUUUUGUUUAAAAAUAUUCAUGUAACUUGAUUUCAUCAGUAAUUUAAUUAUUUUAUAAUAUUAUAUAUUUAUUAAUUAUUGCUAUUUUUAGUGAUGAUAUUUUUUUGUGAUGAACCAUUACAACUAUGAUAAACCAUUGCAACUAUUGGUAAUGGUAGAGUCUACUUAUGAACAUUUACAAUUUUUAGUGCUAAUCCUUACAACUAUUAGUAAUGAUAGGUUUUAGCGAUGAACCAUUGCAACUUUUGAUGCUAAUCGUUAUAUAACUUUUGGUUAACCAUUGCAAUCUUUGGUUGUUAACCAUUGGAACUCUCAACUUUUAUAUAGAAGUUGUAGGUAUUGACAAAUAGUAAUUAAAAACAAAUAACUUGUAGAAAUAAAGAGAGAUAUAUCCAUUUUUUCAAACCAUUACCAAAGAUUUUGAAUAAACAUAUAUAAACACAAGAUAUUUUAUUUGUUAUUUAUGUUCUUAGCUUAAAAUACGAAAAACUUUUUUUAUCAAAUACUUUUUGACUGUACAUACAUUUUAUAUGAUUUCAAAAAUAUCAUGAAUAUGUUACUAAACAAGAUAUCUUAAUUUUAUAAUUUAUAUUAUAAAUUUAGAAAUGAUUAGACAUAUCUUAUUUGGUCUUGAUAUAAUUGUAAUUUUACUACAACUAACUUAUAAAUAAAAUAUAGAUUUUUAAUAUUAUCAAUAAAAAAUAUACAAAAAAAAUAUAGUUGUAUACAAGAUAAAAUGUGGUAUGUUUUUCUAUAAAAUGAGUUCAUGUGUGAUAUCACACGUGUUCCUUACCUAGUUAUAUCUAAUAAUAAAAAAUAUAUUAUACCCUAUACUAUAUACAUAUGUUAUAUACAUGAUGACUUAUUAUGGUAAAUUCUUUACCUUUUUGACAUCUCAUCUUUACUUUUAUCACUUAUGAAAUCAUGAAAAAUGUAGAUGCAACAUGGUAUAGAAAAAAAACAUGGUAUAGAAAUACAUGAAUGAAUUACGAUUGUUACUCAAUUGGAAUUACUAAAUAUAAAAAAAAAAUCGUACAUAACAUAGAAUCAUUGUAGUAACUGAUUUAUAAUAAAUGUAUUUAUAAUGCUCCAAUUACGGUUACAUAUUUUGUUGGACCAUUUAAAAUUUAAAUGACAACCUUUUAAUAAGUAAAUAAAACAGAAGAAUGUAAAUUAAUAGAGUAGAUCAUAAAAUAAAUCAAUAAAUAAGCAGAGAUUUUGAAUUUCCAUCGAAUCUUUAAUCAUAAAUAUUUCUUAUGAUUUUAUUGAAAUACCUCUAGAUUUCAAACAGCAAUAAACAGGCUUUGCUGCCCAAAAUAUAUAUAAAUAAAACAUAACAGUUACCUGACUCACACCUUUCUCAUUUCUCCUUAUUAAAUUUGCAUAAUCUCUAGGUUUAUUAUAGAUUACUCCGCUUUCCACUACUAUAAAUAUUGCAUAGUACACAUAACCAAAACAUCAAUCUCCAAUCAAACCAAACUGGUAUCAGUAUUACAAUGGUGAUGGGUGCCUUGUCCUUGGAUGAGAUCAGAAAGGCACAAAGAGGUGAUGGACCAGCAAGCAUCCUGGCCAUAGGCACUGCCAACCCACCAAACCAAGUGAUCCAAGCAGAGUAUCCAGACUACUACUUCCGCAUCACCAACAGUGAACACAUGACCGACCUCAAGGAGAAGUUCAAGCGCAUGUGUACGUCUUCAUUUUCAUUCUGCCACACACUUAUAUUAUAUUCAUUCACAUUUACUCAUGAACUUUAUCUAU
rnacentral:lncRNA from 1 species